AUGUGGUGUUGCAUGUAGCUUUUAACCUUUUAGGUACAAAUACAAAUCCCCUGCCCCUCCCGUACCCCACUUUCCCACACAUUUCAUAAUCACUGCUAUAAGGUGGACCUAAUGUCCUAUUAUGGCUCCGUGGAGGUUGAGAAAUCAUGUGCUGCAUAUUGUUGCCUUGACUAAUAAACGUCAACAACGGCAAAUUCGACAUACUGUUAGAUCUGGAAACAACAUGGCGGAUAUGCUUGCCAGGGCCGGGGUGGGGAGGGAACAUAAUCUUUUGUUAUUUCACUCUGUUUAGAUUCCAUUUUGAGUUGGAAGAAUGGUUUUUGGAAUUUUUUUUUUUCUCUAUUCACAUCCCUGGCUUCUUUUUGGGCUCUACUAUGGCUCCCAGGUGGUCCAAGUUCUUUCGUCGAUCUGAGUUUCCUGCUCUGUGCUUGGGUCUUCUUGGUUUUGAAGACUCUUGUGUCUGUUUGAUUUUAGAUUUUUGGUGAGUCCUGCUAAUUGAUUUGAUCACUCCUUUAACUGUUUGAUGUUGUGAAUGUCUGCUUCAUCAGGCUUUUUGUGGAGUGAGUGUUGAUUGCCUCUACUGGUUUUUGCUUGAAUCGUUGAAUUUAAAUAAAAAAGUAACAAGAAAACCUUACAAGAGGCUAAUAGAUGGAAAAGAUGGAAAAUAUAUAUAUAUAUAUAUAUAUAUUUGAAGAAAGAGGAUACACGUCCUGUUCGGUACAAAGAGUUUCAGAUCGAUGGAAAGGCAUCCUACCACACCGCCUCUGGUGUACCGAAGUUGUUUGACCUGGUAGGACGAAGUCAAUGCAUCUUUGUUUUCCUAUUUCGCAACUCUCCACAGAGAGCUUACGACCAAUGCUGAUUGAGCUAGUUGGUGACACACAAAGCAGCUUUAUAUCGGAGCAACAAGCAUCUGAUAAUGUAAUUGUAAUGCAAGAAGCCAUCUACACAAUGCAGAUUAUAAAGAGAAGGAAAGGAGUUUUGGCCAUCAAAAUCGACCUAGAGAAUGCUUAUGGUAGACUUAAGUAGUCUGUUUUUCAAGAAGUCCUUGUGGAGAUGACAUCAAGUUAUUUGGAACAGCUGCACAGACCCAACUACAAGCUAUGAUGCGGGUUAUCCAUAAGUUUUGCUCAGCGUCAGAUCAAAAAGUAAGCCUUCAGAAAUCCAAAAUGCUCGUCUCCUUAAAUAUUUACCCAACUAGAGCUAAAGAGUUAAGUUGUGCUGCCUACAUGAGCCUCACAAAUGAUUUUGGUAAAUAUUUGGGCACCCCGAUGCUUCAUGGUAGGGUUGAAAGAACCACUUAUUCUGAUUUAUGUAACAAAUUGGUGAGGAAGCUUGAACAAUGGAGCAAUAAAUUCCAUUCAAUGGCAGGGAGAGUCUCCUUAGUACAAGCAGUUACUAAUACAAUGGCUUUGUAUGUUAUGCAAACCCCAUGAAUCCCGGAUAACGUGGCCAAGGAAAUUGACAAGUUGAAUUUUAUUUGGGGUCAGUUGGGUGGAGAGAGGAAAAUUCAUGCUAUAACUGGAGCACCCUUUGCCUUCCCAAAAACCUUGGAGAUUUACAGGUUUGGGAGACCAGGAAAUUUAAUUUGCUUUACUUGCCAAGCUUGGUUGGCAAUUGUGGCGAGGAAAGGAUUUUUAUUGGUUGAAAUCUUGUGCAAGAAAUAUCUAAAGAAUAAUGAUCUUUUCUCAGUAAAAGCUAAAUCAUCUGGCUCCCGCAUUUGGCUAAGCAUACUGAAAAGUAGGGAGGUUCUUGCAAAGGGAUUAGGAAUGGUAGUGAACAACGGCCUUCAUACAAAAUUCUGGUUGGACUCCUGGCUGCCCUGUGGCCCAUUAAUUGGCUUUGCUACCAGAGAUUUACCAGUGGCAUGCUUCUGUGAUGACUAGGGAAACUGGGACUUAGAUGCUCGUAUUGAUUCCUUACCAAUGCAGGUUAUUCAGAAAAUUGCACCAUAUUCUAUUGAUCCCAGCAGUGCUGAAAAUGACAAAUGCUUUUGGACUUUGACGAGCAGUGGAGAAUUCACUGAAAGUCUAAUUGCAAUAAAUCUACCUGAGAUGAAUAAAUGGCGACAGUUAUGGAGUUUAAUGAGUUGUAGGAAGGUCAAAAUGUUAAGAACUUUAGGCUCUUCGAGAUUUUGCAUGAAUCCCUUCCAACAGCAGCAUGGUUGAUGUUAAGAACUUUAGGCUCUUCGAGUUUUUGCAGUAGAUGUAAUAAUGCUACAGAAAAUCUUAUGCAUACUCUGAGAGAUUGCUCCUCAUCUAAAGACACAUGAUUGGAAAUUAACUAAGAUUUGACUUCCGGGGACUUUUUUUAUUUAGACUUUCUGCAGUGGGUCCAAGCAAAUACUACUAGCGAUGCAUUGUAUGAUUCUUUGCUCUGGGGUGUUAUUUUCAUUCACACACUUUGGAUGCUCUAGUACUGGAGAAACUUGAGUAUAUUUGAAAUAGAUUCUAAAUGGCCGGAUAAUGCACCACAAAAGAUAAGCUUGGGAUAUUCUGCACUAUCGUCAGUCGAAAAUGAGAUAUGAAAUUCCUGUAGCCUGGGUUAAACCAAAUCAUCCUUAUGUGAAGCUGACCGUGGAUGGUAGUGUAAAAGGCCAACCAGGAGAUGCCGUUGCUGGAGGAUUAGUCAGAGACGAUAAGGGAAAUUGGUUAUUUGAGUUUGCCUUCAAGAUUGGUCUUUCCUCCUCCCUUGGUGCAGAGCUUUGGACAAUUUUAAAGGGUCUUGAACUAUGCUGGGAAAGAGGCUUUAGAAAGGGUCCUGGUAGAAAAUUUAGAGGGUAACUCAGACGGGAUCUUAUUUAGAGACGUGUACGAGCAUUGUAAAGUAUAUACAAAAUAUUGUCCGGCGAGACUGGCCUUGCUCACUCUGUUGCGUGAAGCCAAUAGCUGCAUGGACUGGAUGGCACCCAAUCAUAAGAAUAUUCUUUUAGACCUACGUGCUUUUUAGG